AAAAAAAAAAAAGAGUUGUGGUCAUGGUGUCUCUUCACAGCAAUAGAAACCCUAAGACACCCCCUCACAUUUUAUGUCACUCUAGUCAUGAGCAAAAGAAAGAGUAAAUGAGACACCAGAAAUGACACCGUCCAAGUUUUCAUGAACGCAACAUUUUACCUGGUUUAAUUUUUUCUAUUAACAUUAGUAGCCACACAGUCCCCUAUUGAGAACUCUCAGACUUCCAUUCCCUAGCACUGGGAAUAAAUCUUUCCUUGUACAAACAGACCUGCCUAAAUGGCAUCAGGGACCAAUGUGCUUGCUGUACUCAGUUUUAAGCCUAGGAGCCAUGAGUCAGAUCUGAAGAAAAAAAAAUUAAAACUAGUCAUGACCUUCAUCCCAAGGUCUUCUAGAAGACAUAUUGUAUUAGUUUUCUAAUAUACUAGGUGGCUUAGAACAGGAAAAAUAUAUUGUUUCACAGAUGUGGAGUCCAAAAGUCUGAAGUCUAAUAUCAAUAUUUCCAAAGGGUCCUGUGAGGUUCUGGUAGUUUCUUGCUUCAUGGCAGCAUAAUUCUAAUUUUCAUAGGAUUUUCUUCCUGUUGGCACAUUUCUGAGUUCAGAUCUCCUCUUUCCUAAAGGCAUCAAUUUUUGUAUUACUGUCCAUCCUAAUAUCUCCUUUAAAGUCUUUCAGAUUGAUUUAUUUUAUGUGAGUAUUUUGCCUACAUGUAUGUCUAUGUACCAUGUGUGUUCACUACUACCUUAUUUUAAUUUAUUUAAAAAUCCCUAGUGUUAGAAAUGAAAUAUCUGUUUGGGGGGGGACACACAAUUCAAUUCACUACACAUAUAAACUUCAAAGUAUCUCAUGCAUAGCUAGAAGUCCAUUUCUGUUCCUUCUCAUGUCAUCAUACUAUAUAACUCAUGUCAUCAUAUAACUCAUGUAUCAUCAUACAAUAUAACUCAUGUCAUCAUACAAUAUAACUCAUGUCAUCAUACAAUAUAACUCAUGUCAUCAUAAAAUAUUGUAGAUGAAAUUCUAAAUGGUCUUAUUAAAUAAGAAACAGAGCCAAAUGCAGAGUUAAAAGCCCAAGAGAUCAGAGCACUAGUGUAGAGCCUUUAGCUUACCACUCCCUGCCGUCCUUCCCCUGAGAAAGAGACCUUCUCCUGUGUGACCUGUCUUUUUAUUGCCUUUCUGUUCUACCUUCUCAUUUGCUCUAAACCCAACCACAUGAUUUCCUUGUCACUGCCUAUCUAUACAGACCUCCAGGUCUCUAUGGUUGGUACUGGGAUUAAAAGUUCGGGUCACUGUUUGGCUGUGUCCUUGACCACACAGAGACUCUCUUUGCCAUGUGAUCGGAUUAAGGGUAUGGGCCACCACCGCCGGACUUCUGCUAAAUGGCUUGCUUUUAGCUCUGAUCCCCAGGCAACUUUAUUUAUUAACAUACAAAUAAAAUCACAUUUCAGCACAAAUAAAAUAUCACCAUACAAUAUAAUUAUGAACCAAGCCCAGCAGAUUUCCACUCACAUGAGGUCUUAAACUGAGGCUACAUAAAAUACCACCUGCACCUACCCUGCCCAAGAACAAUGAACCAAUCAAUGAUGUUGAUGACAUCCCCAGUUCCUGAUACAGCUAAUAAAAUUCAGCACAAUGAAUUCUUUGGGAUGUUGUCUGAAUAUGAGAGUAUUAUUUUCCCUCAGCAUACUGGAAUCUGACCAUAUUCACUUCUUGGAAUAUUCAAAGUGCAUAGUUCCAGUUGGCCUGUGUCUUUGUAAUGGAAAAAAAUGGAAGAGAGAGAGAGAAAGAGAGAGAGAGAGAGAGAGAGAGAGAGAGAGAGAGAGAGAGAGAGAAUGGCUAUGGGAACUUCUGUGGAGGCCCACAGAGGCACCCUAGUGAGACCUUACUCAAGGUCAGAGAGUCUGAGCUUGCUUUACCCAGUAGGGCUGCAUAAUGGGAUGAUUUGGCCAUGAACGUGGUUACCAGGUGUUUUGAAGGAUCUAUAUUUGGCUGUAUGUUGUGCUUUGAUCUUGAAAGGGGGUGGUAUUUUGCCUUGCUCCUUGGCAUUGUAUAAAAAGCCCUUUGGAAUAAACCUCAAGGUGACUGGGUAUUGACCCAGGGCCCUCCUGAAGCUAUCCUGUGUCUCUGUCUUUCUCUCCAUCUUCGUCUAUAUUUCUAUCUAAUAUUUCCUCAUUCCUCUCUCCUCCUAUCAAGGACCCUUUGAAAGGUGGGAGCUGGACUCCCACAUACUUCCUCUUCUCUUCACAGACUGUCUCCAUACUGUGAGUUGGCUGUACUUACAGCUCUUACGCACAAUCAUCAGGGUGGCUCUCAUUCUCCAAUGACCAAAUUCUCCAGGUUUGAUACUUUCCAUUGGUUCUCUGCAGAAAGCAAAUUUAUGUGACUAAAAGCUACUCUGGUCAUUGGUUCAGAAUAUGGACAGUUUUUAAUAUUUUUUUUAUUUUAUGGGUACAAGUAUUAACCAAGAAUAGUCAUUACAAUUGUGUCAUUUCAGCAACAUUUGAGAAAUAACAAUAAUAUUAAAAUGAUAGAAAUUACACAAAGGGUCUCUAGCGCAAAUUUCUAUCUUUUUUAGCUUAAUUACUUUAAUGGAUUCUUUGGGAAUUUCACAUCAUGUGCCCCAAUCCUGCUCAUAUACCAGUCCCUCCAUACCUGCCCCUCACUCCUGGAGUGUCUCCCAACAAAAGAAAAUUAAAAAAAUAUUAAUAACAAAACAAAGCAAACAAACAAAAAACAUCUUGCUUCUUAAUCCUUCCUGCCUCUCCAACAGCUCUUCAUUCAUCUUAGUGGCAUUGGGAGCUGUGGUGUGUUGUGUGGUAUACCCUUUUGUCUACUUAACUUUACUUGCAAAUGUUGAUUGUGUAAUAAGUUGUUGGUCAGGUUCAAGGCCUCUGACUUCUGGUAUAUCAUCAAUGCUGGACUCUUACUGAGACUUGUCUCAGAUACCCUGAAGUAUGGAGAUCCUACAGUUAUGGUUCCACAGGGCCAGUUCCUUCAUGUACUGCAGCAGGUCAUAGAUGGGGUAGAUAUUGGGGUGGGCCAACUCCAAACCCUGAAUGUGGGUCUGAGUGGUAGCUGAUUUGGUCAAUCUGGCUGCUGAGACCAACCUUAAGAGAUAGCUCUUCUAUGUCCAGGCUAUGGGGGCCAGCUCUCCCACACCAGUGAUGAGGGGUGGGGCCAUCUCUCCCAAGUGUGGGGCCAGCUCUUCUGCUGCAGUGGCCAGCAAAAGGCAUGACCUGCUCUCUCAGGGCCAGUAAAGGAUGGUGCUGGCUCAGCAUUGCCCUCGGAUUUCAACAGACAUAGUUCUUAUGGUCCUCUCUGGUAACAUGGGCCAUGGAGAUCAACUCAGAUCCCAGCUGCAGUGAGACCAUUGACCCAGAAAUGACACUUGGCAGCAGCUCAGGCCUCAUCAUCACCAUGGCCCCUGUGGCAGCACAGCCCUCAGAAACCAACCAAUAUGGUCUCAGGUGGCUGACCAGACCCCAGGUAUCCAAAUGACCCUCUUUGGUAACUGGAGUCACAGACAGCAGUGCAGUCCCUAGCUGCAGUAGGGCCCUGUAGCAAGCUUUCUUGUUGGACUAUCUUUGAACCACCAACUCGAAAAUAAUGACCCAGAGACUUACUAUUAGUUAUGAAAGUGUGACCUUAGCUUAGGCUUUUCCCCAACUAGCUCUUACAACUUAAUCAACUCACAUUUUUCUAAUCUCUGUUCUGUCAUGUGGCUCAGUUACCUCUUCUUAGUACUGCGUAUCUGACUUGCUCCUAGUCUCCAAGCGAUAUCCACCGUUCUUCAUCCCAGAGUUCUCUCUCUGCCUAGAAGUCCCGCCUAUACCUCCUGCCUAGUUAUUGGACAUUUAGCUCUUUAUUAAGCCAAUCAGAAGGCACCUUAGGCAGAGACACAUCUUUACAGUGUAAACAAAUAUUCCAUAACAAGGACCAUGGACCCAGACAUCACCCUUGGCUGCAGCUCACGACCUGACAUCAUCAUGGCCCUGGGUGGCAGAGUAGGUCUGUAUGGUCCUGGCUGCAGCCUGACCCUCAGACACCAAGCUGGCCUCAGGUGGCAACCCAGACCCCGGGCAUCUGCACAGCCUUCAGUGGAAACUGAAGUCAUUGAGAUCAUCACAGACCCUGGCUUCAGUAAGGCCACGGACUCAGACAUGGCCCUUGCCUGUCACUAUGGCCCCAGGUGGCAGCACAGGCCACUUAGCCUGGCCCCACUGGCAGCAUGGCUCUCAGACACCAACAGGGACAGUAAUAGUAAAAUGAUAUAAAUCACACAAGAGGUCUGUAGUGCAAGUUUCUUAAGGAUUGAUUUUUGUAAUACUUUCUUCUUUCUGUACUGGGUUUGUAGAACUAGAACUUCCUGAAGUCACCUAAUGAACAAUUUGUCCUAGGUUUUGUUGUUAAAAUUGUUUUAAGCCUACUUUAUAUCAACCUUGAAGACUGGAUAGGACCCAAUAUAAAGGCAAAAUAAUAGUCCAUGUAUCAAAAGAUAUCACCUUUGGCCAGAGGAUAAUUUUGUUAAAGAAAAACUUCUAAUCAUGAUUGUGUUUACAAUCAUGAUGUAAUUAGAUAAUAAGAAAACUGGUAUCUAGUUUUAUGGCUGAACAUUUAAAUGGUGCUAGAGUUGAUGAGAUUCCUAAGGAUGAACCUGCUCUGUUAGGGUAAAAGAAAAGUUGCAGGGAGAAACUAGUAAAGUUUUGCCCUCUUGGGUGCAUCACCUUCAAAGCAGUUCACCUAAAGUCAUGAUUAAAGUUGCAGAACUUUAAUCAGCAAACCAAGGAAUAUAGAUGUUCUGACCCUAAAAUGGGAACCACAUAAGUAUUUCAGCCGGCUUUACGUUAUGUAACCCAUAAAUCUAGAUAGAGCUAGUGAAUAACAGGGCAGGUCGUGCUUGCCUAGUGGGAAGCAGAUGCUUCAUAAUCUCACAGUGACACAAGAUCCACUGCGCUACUUCUCCCCUGACUUCUUUUCAUGUGAGCCUCCAGUAUUGAUGCUUUUAUUAUAGAAACAUAGUAUGUUUACGAUUACAAUAUCAGAUGUAGAGAAACUAAUAGAAGACCUGCUUCAGUUAAAAAUCUGGAGUUUCUUAGAUGUUUACAUCUAAGUAGGCUUCGAAGCAGUGAAGGAAAGUCAAGUGUAUGUCUUUGAUGCGAUCCAUUCCCUCUUAGCGCUCUUAGAAAAACAGCUCAGAAAUUCUGUGCAAAUUAAUUACUACUGUGGCAUUCUGUGCAAAUUAAUUACUACUGUGGCUAGGUUUUGAGGGUUCAUUUUCAUGCUCUCAAUUUGCAGACUGAAAUAUCAUUUCAUUUUUAAAACAUUAGCAUUUAAUGUGUCUUAUGUUUUAUACCUGUGUGUUGACAAAUGUGGUUUGAAUUUCUUUAGUGCAGAUCAGUUUACAAGUUUACAAUUUAGUGUCUGUGUUAAUGUGGCAUCUUUUUUUUUUUUUUUUUUUGGUUUUUUGAGACAGGGUUUCUCUGUGUAGCCUGUCUUGGAACUCACUCUGUAGCUCAAGCUGGCCUCGAAAUCACAGAGAUCUGCCUGCCUCUGCCUCCCAGUGCUGGGAUUAAAGGCGUGUGCCACCACCACCCAGUUUAAUGUGGCAUCUUAAGUUACAAACAUUUACAAAAGCUGUUUGAAGUAGAAAAGGAUAAACUACUGUGAAUCUAUUAAAUUUUACCCCUAAACUAUGUUAUAGGAAAUUUUUUUCAUGCUUUAUUAAUAGCAUAAUAUAACAAUAAAUUUAGAAAUCAAUAUCUUGACUCUUUUAAAAAUUUAAAAAUAUUGUGUGAUACAAAUAAUUAUGAUUGACAUUAGUAUAUUCUUUACAGGGAAUAUAUUAUUCCCAUAACUAAAAAGACUUAUCUAAAUUCUUUGCUUUCGUAAGAAUGAUUUUACAUUAGUGGCUAAAUAAGUGGAGCAUCCACAUGAGUCACAUGCAAAAAUCCUUCUGUGCACACAGAACUUUUAGCAGCAUGGAAUAUAGUCUGUUCUAUGAAUCAAAAACCAUUAAUCCAGUAUAAGAGGUGACAUUUGAUCAUUGUUCUUGAUUGAAAUUAUUUAUCUGUUUGCAGUAUUUUGCUGUCCCAACAAUUACUGAAGUUCUGAGGCAUCAUUGAUGAUUUAUAUGGAGUGUGAUGGGGAUAUAAGCACUUGAGUGAUUAUUAUCUUGCAGAUUUACAGUUUGACUACUUAUGGCAUCCGAUUUGGGUGUGUGAUUAUGGAAUUACUCACUUACCACUUUAACAGCUAUUAAGGUCUCUGAAAAGGAAUUUAAGUGUUCUAUCUUGGGGGCAUACUGCAGAUGACAAAUACUCGCUCCCGAGAAACUAGGACAUACCAUUUUCAGGAUGAAACACUGAAAAAAAAAAUCAAUGCUGCUUGUAGGCCUUCCUUCAAAUGGCCCAAUUAACUGCACUCAUGUCCAUUUACUCCAUUUGUGAUUCACGAAAACAGAAUUUUAAAUAUGAUUUAUAUUUUUAAGAGUGAAAAUACAUGAUGGAAAAAUCCUUAGUUACUGACUCAAGGUCACACAACAUUUCUGAGUUAGAAACAGAAACUCAGUUUCCUAACAGCCAUGCCUCCCAAACUGCUGGAUGAUAUCUCUAGAAAUUGCAUCUGUGAAAUUACAAUCAAGACAGAUAUAUUUAAGCCCUUGCAAAGCUUUGCUUGCACCGUAAUUCCGUAUCUCAGGCUGAUUAUUAUAUAGUCAUUCACAGCAGGUUUUUGGACUGUCCAUGCUGGCGCAGCAUUUGGCACCCUAAUAGAACAAACAAGAUGCACACUUGAAUAAGUUCGUAUUUCUGCAUUGAGCCAUCUGGGUAACCCGUAUGAUCUCUUUUCUGGAAGAUGGGCUUAUUUCUUACCUGGCAACGUUAGGAACGGUUAACUUUCUCCAGUUUUACAUGUUUAAUGACAGUCAAUGAGUGUAUCUAUCAUCCCACACUCAAGAUAUUAGAGUCACGGAAAAGGACAAAGGAUGGGAGAAGCAUUUAGAGCUCCAGUAAAUGUUUACUGGAGUUAAUGAAAAUGGUUCACAUUUCAACUGCUUACAAGCUGUGUGAUUUUGUAUAAUUUUCUACUUUAUCUCUGCCCCAUCUGUUUGCUGAUGACAUGAAGAAGAAAAUGGUUCAUAACUUACUUCUAAAUCUUUUGGAUUACCAGCAUCUAUCCCUGUGUCCCGUUCCCAGCACAGAAUAAAAGAAAGAACAGAGGGAAGGAGAAGAAAAAGGAGGCUGCAAGGAAAUUCUGGAAGGUACCUGAGAGGUGAUAGCUUCUCUUCCUUUGUUUCCUUCCACAUUUCUAAAAAACAGCUUCAUCUGUACUUUGUUGGCCUCAGAUUCCUUCUAAGAGUAAUCAACCAUCUUCUGAUUGGUGAAGUCUCACUCCACGAGAUAAAACCUAUACCUGACACCAUUCUUGGCCCAAUAAUCAAUGUCCAGUCAGGUUAUAGGCCCUGGAGGAGAACCUACUACUAUUCUCUGUUAAAUGGACAUAGUACUGAACUGACUCCCAGUGACUUAUCGUUUUACCCAUACAUCAAUGCAUCUUUCAGCGCUCAUCAAAGAAGCUUCUGUUUGCAGCAGAUGAUGAUCAAUAAAGGGACCCACCAUUAGCUAAGGUGCAGAGAAUAAGAGGUUUCAUAAUGCUGAGCACUAGCUAGAACAUAUAGAAGGCACCCCAACUUCCCAAGGCUCAGUGGUCAUUGUUGAUCACUGUGGAGGGGACAGAAACAGCGUAAGAGCCAGCGGUGAUGGAUGACUAGAAGGAAACACUGUCUUCUGGACAUAUGAAUUUACAGCAGUUGUGACUGCAUUCACAAGACCCGGGAAAACUAAGCUGAUCCAAUCUCAGCACCGAGAUGGGAGAUACACAUGAAAUCCCAAUCCUAACCUUGGAGCUAUUGGCUGUUUUUAGCUGCUGGAAGGAGAGUUCUCUCUUAGAAUGUAACACUGGGUAAGUCAACCACACAUCAGUAGAAGACCAUCUAUCAAAAGAACAUUGGGGCAGCACAAAUUGUUUUUGACAGGUUAAAAAAAAACAAGGACACAAAUUUGGGUGUGUAGAGAAGGGCAGAGGGGCUGUAAGAGUUGGGAGAGGGAUGAUGAUUAAAAUGUGUAAAAAUCCUAACUAAUAAUUUUUAAAUAGACAAAUUAAAUAUUUAAAAAGAAUCCAACAAUAUAUGCAGUCCCCAAAUUGGGUUGAAGUGUAUAAUUCCUUGGUCACAAUAUAAUUUGAGAUUUAACAUAACACACUUUUGGUUUCUAAAAUGAGAUGGAAAUAUAAAAUUUGCAUUCUCUCAAGUCACAGCAUGAGACUGCUUAAAUUGCAGUUGGAUGUUUAUAGCCACUUUCUCCUAAUUUUCUUUGUGGUACUCUCACUGGUUUGCUACAUAUUAGAAUUCACAACUCUUGGCUUAUAUUGUAUUAAUGCAUCUUCUCAAGCUGAGCAUCCAUUGCAAAAACAAGACUAACAGAGACAUAAGUGGCUAUGACAUCCCUGUUUCAUCUUUUUUUUCUGUACAGCAAAGGGAAAUUAACCUGUUAUUACAACACAAGAGCUCCUUCACGACUUUUUGUCUGUUACUCCAACUUUAUCUCUUGCUGCCUUUUUUAAAAUUAAUAAUCUGUAGUAUACUAAAAGUUGACUUUCAGCACAAAACCCUGAUGCUGUAUUGGGUAGGGACUUUCCAUUCCUAUUCUUCUAUCUUAUCUUGCGAUGCUGCCAGUCUUGUCCUGAGCUCAAAAGACCCUCCAUCAAGUCAGGCUCAGAGGAAUGGUAAAGCCUUUCCCUGGACUGAGUGUGGAGGUUGACAAGUGUAUUCCUUAUUCAGGGUGAAAGCAGCCUGAGACUGCUCAGCUACAGACACUCCUUAAUGAGAUUAGGUCUUAUAUAUAAGCACACUGAUUUUCCUGGCUAACUAGGUGAGUCUCCAUCAGAGUCAAUAGCCCGCCCAAUUCCAGCUUUUCUGUAUGUCUAUUGGUUAUUUCUUCACUCCCCAUUGCCCCAGUCAGGUAAAUCCUAAAGCUGUGCAGGUCUCCACAGAGUGGAUCCUUUGACAGGCUCUUCCCUUAUGCCCCAUGACUUUGAACAGGAAACUGUAAGCUCUUGAGGUCAGUUUUUGAGAAUAGCAACGUUAGCAGCCACACACGGUGGUUGCUACUGCUGCUACUGUCUGCAGCCAAGGUUUUAAAAGAAGACAAGGAUGUGGCUGCUAUGUUUAAAGUACAGAGCAGUAAGUCUCCAACUUGAGAGUCUACAGCUAUAACUCUGCCUUCUACAGUCCGGUGUGAUAGAUUCCCAGCUCUCCAGAUCUGGAAUGGUAAACCUCUGGUCUGUAAAUCUAGCUUCUAGCCAGAACUUGGGGAGCUUCUCCUUGCCUACCCAGGAAUGCUUUCUGGGUAGACGCAAAGGCCCCCAGAUUGGUAACAAGGAGUUGUUCAUUAUCACUCAUCAUUAUGAAAAUACAAAUUAAUGCUCACACUUCCUAGAAUGAUGAAAAUCCAAACUGUACCCUAUCAAUAACGGUUGCCAAAGGUGUGAAGAAAUUAGAAUCAUCUGUUAAGGACCGUAAAAAAGUCUGUAUUUUACUUGUUGAUGGCAAUUUCACAUUUUUACUCUUACGGAUGUUGAUAGAAGACAUGUGAUUUAAUGUGACACAAAGGGUAUUCCUUCUAAUGUUGGCAGUGGUCAGAGUAUUAACAUUUUCCUUUUUGCACCACUUCUCUGACCUCUGAUUCCCAGGGGUGAUGGCUGCACCAAGGGUCCACUGGUGCUGUGCAUGAAGCAGAUCUUCCAGGCUGGAGAGUCCUAGAAUUUUGUAUUCUGGUGCAGUGGCAUUGAACCCAGGUCCUUCUUCCUCAUGCCAGGCAUGAUCUCUACCACUUAGCUACAUUUCCAUCCUGAAUCUGAAUCCUAAUGGACUCUAAGUAAAUAUGCCUGCCCUUACCUCAGAGAUAGAGAGACAGAGAGAGACAGAGAGAGAUGUCACUAUGCUAUACAGUAAAAAAACUUGCUUUUUUCCAAAGCUGUUUAUUGCACAUAAACAACAACAAAAGUCUGAAACAAAAGAGCAGUUGAUUCUAUUGCUUGCAAAAAGUGUCGGAACUAUAAAGACACAUUAGAAUUGACUCCUAGCACCCACCCACACCACCAAUGAGAAUGGAAAAUGUUAUAGCUGCUUUGGAAAAUUUUGACAGCUUCUGAGAAAGUUUAGGUCAUACUUUUGAUACAAUUACGUGAAUUUACUUCUAAUUUAUGAAGUAAUGAAAUAAAUAUCCACCCAUAGAUUUGCAUGUGCAUUCUUAUAGAAUUGAUGUUAAUAACAUCCCCCAAUUGCCAAAAAAAGUUCAAAUGUUUUUUUUAAUAGAGACUAAACAAACUGUGGAAUACUGCUUAGCCACAAGAAAUAAGAAACCACAGUUAUAUGCAACAGAAUUGAUAGUGCUGGAAUAUGUUGCGCUAAGUGGAGGAAUCAUGAAGCAAGAGAGGGUCCAUGGUCUAGGAAAAUGAAAACUACAGAUAGUAAGAAGAUCAGUAGCUAUUUCAGACUGGCUUGGUGAAGGAGAACCCCGCACAGUGGGGUGCUCCCUCCUGUACCUCAGAUUAGUCAUAAACCACACCCCAAAAACCUGUUUUCACAGUUAUCCUUUAUUAAGAAGGGAAGAAAAAGUCAAGUGGUUGUUUUCAGGCAGAAAAACAGCAGCAAAUGACCUUGCAGGUGUAAGUUUUAAGAAGAGAAAAUGGGGAGGUCUGGCUAGCUUUGGGAAUGUAUUCUAAUGGUUUUAAGCAAGGCAAAGGGAAUGGGGGAGAAAGGCAAAGCCUGCCAGAGCCAUGCUUUCUGUGGUUGAGCUGGCCAGAGUCCUUUCACUUAGGGGCUGGGAUGGAUUGCAAAUGGUUAUGGUAGUGAAUGAAUUAUUCUGAACCUUGACAGGGCUCUCUAAAAGGAUCAGAACUGAUAGAAUGUACGUAUAUUUGUACAUAAAGGGAUUUAUUAGGAUGGCUACAGAAUAUGAUCUGGGUAGUUCAACAAUGGUUGUCUCACACUAGAGAGGACAAAAAUCCAGUACUUGUUCAGUCCACAAGGCUAGCUGUCUCAGCCUUCCUAACCUGGUGUUGAAGUCCUAGGGGUAUCCUGGAGAGCCACUGGUUUUCAGUAUACUUCAGAAUCUGGAAGACAUCGGUUCUGAUAUUGGUGAUGUAACUCAAUAACAUCAUUUUAAAAUAGUGUGAAAUGGGGGGGGGGAUUCAGCCAUGAGCACACAGAGUCAGCAUGAAACCCUCUUUUUCCUCCCUGUAUUAUUAUGGUCUUCCUCCUCAGGUUACCUGGCUGAGGCACCAAGUAGAUUCCAGGCACUUUGCCCAGCACAGGUUUAAGGCAUGUUAAUGGUUCUCAGUUCUCACGGUGCUUCGGAAUCACCUGGAGAGCUGUCUCAAAACAGUAGCAUAGAAGAACCUACCUCUAGUUUCAAGAGAGAACAGUACAUACAGCCAAAGCAAGGUGUUUUCUUUGUUCCCUAGUUGAGUCUAGUGUGGAGCCAAAGCUGAAGGAAAAGGAAAAAGAAAAAGAAAAAGAAACAAACAAAACCUAGCAAGACAGCACUGUUUUUUUUCUGGAAUAAAUUUUGAAGCUAUUUUGGGAAUCUAUCAGUAUUGCCCACACCAGUGAUCACAACCAAUCAUAAGGAUUCACAUCAAGAGCCGUGGAAGGAGAGAGAGAGUGCUUAUUCUGGUCCAUUUGUAAGCCUACAGCUCUAAGCAGGUGCUAGGCUGGAAGGCAGAAUCCAAAAGCCACUAGGGAGUUCUCUCACAAAGGGGUGUGCGCAGGAGUUCUGUUGUCAUGCUUCCCUACCUAGAGUUUAGGGAUUCAUGUUGCUGGGUGAUUAAUUUUAUUUCCCUUGGAGGUAAGAAGAGGAAUUAAGAAACAGUCCAAACAAAUGUACCAUACAUCUUCAAAGAUGUUGUAUUGGCUGGUUUUGUAUGUCAACUUGAUAUAAGCUAGUCAUCAGAGAGAAAGGAGCCUCCAUUGAGGAAAGGCCUCCAUGAGAUCCAGCUGUAAGGCAUUUUCCUAAUUAGUGAACAAUGGGGGAAGGCCCAGCCCAUGGUAUGUGGUGCCAUCCUUGGGCUGGUGGUUCUGGGUUCUCUAAGAAAGUGGGCUGAGCAAGUCAUGGAAAGCAAGUCAGUAAGCAGCAUACCUCCAUGGCCUCUGCAUCAGCUCCUGCCUCUAGGUUUAGGUUCCUGCCCUGUUUGAGUUCCUGUCCUGACUUCCUUUGGUGAUGAACAGCAAUGUGAAAAUGUGAGCCAGAUAAACCCUUUCCUCCCCAACUUGCUUUUUGGUCAUGGUGUUUUGUUGCAACAAUAGAAAUCCUAACUAAGAUAGAUGUAAUAUAUGAGUAUUUCCUAUCGACUCAGCAUGCUUCAUUUCCUUUAUUAAGCUAUUAUGAUAUUCACAUAUUAGUACUUUGUAACUGGAAAAAAUUAAAAUGUGGCAAAGAAUGAAAGAUUUAUAAAUAAUAUAGUUGAAAACUACUUCUACACUACCCAUUCAUACCUCCUUGUUAGUUGAUAUAGAGGUCCUAGUCAUUUCCUGCCACUUUUCUUACACACACACACACACACACACACACACACACACACACACCAGAAAUCAUAGAUGAAUGGCACAUUACUUAUACCUUCCUUAGCGAUUUAUAUGAAUCAUCUGAAUGAUUCAUCAUGAUCAAAAUAUACUUCUUUAUAAUCUAUGUGCAUGUAUCUAAUUAGAGCUUUCUUCUAAAUAAUUGCCUAAAAGGAUGACUCUAUCAAAAUUCAAUUACAUAUUUUUUCUUUGAUAUUUGAAUUUCUCUAAUUUUUGUUAACUCCAAACAUACCACAUCAUAUGUUGCUAGAUGCAUAUUCUUGGGUAUUGACACUUUGAAAUUUUUGUUGGAUAAAUUCUAAGUAGAAUGACUUCACCAAAAGUUGUGUGUGUGUGUAUUUGAUUUAUAGUUAUUGCCAAAAUAUAACUCUUGCAGCAGCUUGCACGUUGUUGUUAUGGUUUCAAUUUUUGGUCAGCACAGGCUUGAGCUAACUGGCCUAUCAGUCAGUAAUUUAUAGCCUUUACUACACAUUACAUUUUAUUUUCAUUUUUUCUUGACUACUAAUGAAGCUGAGAAAACUUUUACAUGCCUACUGACACUUCAGAAUUUUCUUUCUGCCUCUUCUCUUCCCCUGCCAUAUUCCUGAUUUCUCUUGAGGAAGGCCAGCCUGAAUAGUUCAGGCUAGCUUUGGACUUGUGAUGCUUCUACCUCAGCCUCCUGAGUGCUGGUGUUACUACUGAUGGACAUAACCAUGCUAAGCUUAGAAAUCUUUUAAGAUUUUCUUUAAAAUAAAUCUUUAUUUUUUUCCAUUGAGUUAUUGUGGUGGUAUUGUGUUCCCCAAAAUAUUGUGUACCCUAAUAAACUUAUCUGGGGUCAGAGACAGAACAGCCACUAGAUACAGAGGCUAGAAAAUGGUGGCACUCACACCUUUAAUCCUAGCAUUCCAGAGGCAGAAAUCCCUCUGGAUCUCUGUGAGUUCAAGGCCACAUUGGAAACAGCCAGGCAUGUGACACAAACCUUUAAUCCCAGAAAGUGAGCCUUUAAUCCCAAGGAGUGAUGGUAGAAAGGAAGAUAUAUAAGGCGUAAAGACCAGAAACUAGAAGCAUUUGGCUGGUUAAGCUUUCAGGCUUUCGAGCCGCAGUUCAGCUGAGAUUCUGGAUGAAGACUCAGAGGCAUCCGGUCUGAGGAAACAGGAUCAGCUGAGGAACUGGCAAGGUGAGGUAACUGUGGCUUGUUCUGCUUCUCUGAUCUUCCAACCUUCACCCCAAUAACUGGCCUCAGGUUUGAUUUCAUUAAUAAGAACUUUUAAGAUUCCUGCUACAAGUUAUUUUUAUUUUCUCACCAAUUUAUAGAUGCUCAAUGCAUACUAGAGAUUUUGUGCCUUUAUGAAUUAUACCUCUUGCAGUUUUUGACUCCGAUCAUUGCCUCUGCCUUUACUGAGUGUUCCUCUUUAGAAAAAGAACAUAUUUGUCAUUAAAUGUGACUGUCAUCUCUUCUGUGACUUUCUCAGUUUCUCAUGUUUGACAGUCCCUAUUUAAAGAUACACAAUUCUUCAAAGAGUUACUAGUCUUUAUAUUGAUUUAGAUUUUUAUAUUUAAAGUUUUAAACUUACAUCUAAAAUUUAGUUUUGAAUAGGGUGUGUAGGUGAGGUCUCUGGUUUUGUCUACAAAUAUGCACAAUUAUCUCAUGAUAAAUUAUUAACAAAUGCUCAACUCUUUUGUUCAGUUCUUAUUAUUUGUAAUUACUAAAGGAUGCUCUGUUCUUUGGGAUCUUUUAUUCUUCCCCUCUGCCUUCUUAAACACUUCAAAUUCAUUUGAUUUUAUAUGGAUACCCUUUCAGUUUCCAGAUCUCAUGACUCUAAGCUGUGCUUUAAAACUGAAAAAUAUAUGAGUGGCUAAUUUUACUUGGAUUUUAAUUAUAGCUUAAGUAAUUGUGUGAUGUUUAAAGUGUUUGCAAGUGUUUCUAAUUUUUCCAUGCUAAACUACUCUACAAAUACAUACUUUGUAAAGUUGAACUACUCUCAUAAAGCCAGCAGAGGGCGGACAAGUAACUGUUUUGAUAGUGAGGAAUUGAAAAUAAUUUUUAAAUGUAUCAUCUAACUGAUUUAUGGAAUAAGUUUAAAGAAUUCAAAAUAUUUACUCAUUUGGGUAUUUUUGUUUAUCAAAGUUACUCCUACACAACCAAAACUUACCUAAAUAUUUUAUGGCUGCCAUAUAUUACCGAAUUUAGGGAUGGAUCAAGAUCUUUUGAAAGGGAAGAAUUUGGGGCAUAAACAGUUUAUGCAUCCAACACAAGUAACAUGAAAUCAAAAUAACAUGGAGUAUAUUAGAUGUGACUCCAACUUAUUUUUUUAAAAGAUCAAAGCUAGGGAAAAUUGCAAAUGAUUGUAGAAUAAUAAACACAUAUUAUUUUCACCAUACAUUUCAUAAGAUGAACCGUGCUCUAAUAUGAGACUAGACAUAUAAACAGUCUUUUGUGAAUAACAGCUAUGGAUAAUUUUAAAGUAUUUGUCCAUUUACAUACACUGUAGGAAACUGGAAAACACCAUGAUCACGACAAGCUAAAAUGGGGUUAACUUAAUGAGAAUUUACAAAUAGGCUGCUGGGUAUUUUGAAAACAGUUGUUAUUCUCAGGUUGUUUUUGUGUGUGGCCUGCUGCUUAUUGCUAUUUAUAAAUAUUAGAAUGAUGGAAACCGCUAUGAAGUCGGAGAUGCUCCACUGAACCUCUCAGGGACAGUCAUUCAAUCAAGCAAAGGUUACAGAAGCCCCGGAGGGCAUUUAUUUGUUAUGUGACAACACGGAUAGACCUGGUAUUGUUGUAUCAGUGUUCUUUAAGUCAGGAAGCCUAGUGUUAAAUUAAUGUCCUAUCGGGCCAACUCCAUUGAAUUUACUGUGUCUGUUUCAUUUUUUGUCUUAGAUUUAGUUCUCUUUUUUUUUUUUGUCAAGAUGUAGUAUCUGCUGUAUAAUUGUGUAUACAUAUUUUAAUAUGUAGUAUUGUGAUGUGUGAAUAUACUUUACAAAUGAUGAUAUAAAUAAAAUUAAUUAGGGGACAAUAAUGUA